AGUCCCCAAGUGCCAAGGCACAGCCUAAAGGGGCCUGUUCCCACCAUGGCAUCCGUGACAAGAACCAGGAGCCAGAAUGCAGGUUUCUGGGACUUGUCAGCUCCCUUCUGAGUGCCCUGUUGAGGAUUCCUAGAAGUCCAGACACCUCACCCCCCUAACCUGGAUGGACCACGCAGAGCCAAUAGGAAUACUUUUCUGUGGACGUGCCAUGUUGGAAUCCCAGAUCUCCCUGCCCUGCCAGCCCCUGCCAGCUUCCUGGGGACCCAACUGACCCUGAAGAAAGCCUCUGAUGGGCCUAGAACAGAGAAGGUGACCCAGGACCUUGCCCAGCCUUUCUGGACAACUGGAAGACAGUUACGCUUCGUCCUCCACCUCUCCCUCCAACGCGCACAUGGCCAGCUCCUAGAUUCCACCCUUCAACCCACUUGUUUCCUGCCUGAUGCACAUGACCUGCGUCUGAGUUCUCCAGGCUGCCUGGAGGAGGCAUUCAGGUCCCUGGCCCUGGGCCAGCAGUACACAUCUCUGGGCUCACAGCCCCUGCUCUGCGGCUCCAUCCCAG
rnacentral:lncRNA from 1 species